UACGUAGGGUGCAAGCGUUGUCCGGAAUUAUUGGGCGUAAAGAGCUCGUAGGCGGUCUGUCGCGUCGGCUGUGAAAUCCCGAGGCUCAACCUCGGGUCUGCAGUCGAUACGGGCAAACUGGAGUACUGCAGGGGAGACUGGAAUUCCUGGUGUAGCGGUGAAAUGCGCAGAUAUCAGGAGGAACACCGGUGGCGAAGGCGGGUCUCCGGGCAGUAACUGACGCUGAGGAGCGAAAGCGUGGGGAGCGAACAGG
rnacentral:rRNA from 1 species